GGGUACCCUGAAGCUGCAAGGCUGAGUAGGCUGAAGUUCUCUCUCACAUCGCACUGUGCUGCUCUGCAGUGGACAGACCUUCUACCCAGGCCCAUCUGUACUGGUGGAAGAGAUACCCACCACUCGCUGCUCAUUGCUACCUCCAGUUGAAAGCUGCUGACCCUCAUCUACUGGCUGAUCUAGGCAUAUGAAUUCUCACUUGUUCUUUUAGUGAAAUGCCUAGUUACCAAAAAUCUAGUAUUUAAGCUACUCACCUCAAUGAGCUGGUUAAGUGCUUACUUCAGCAGCUCUGCUAGCAAAGCUGUGGAAGCAGUAAGUUUUGGAGGAGACACAGCCAGUUAGAUGUUUGUAGGCAGAACAUCUGCUUACAGUCUAAACACUCGUCCAAGGAUGAAGUGAGGCAGCAGAUGCUGCAGAGACUGGCCUGUGUGGGAUUCUUGAGGAUCAUACCGCUUCCUGAUAUCCAGCCACAUCCCACCGCAGCCUGCUUGGACCUCAGAGGACCUGGUAUCGCCCCCCAUGGUAAUGCUCUGGUGUUGCACAAUGAGGAACGAGACCAUGGCCAGAUCUGUGUGGAAGAGGACCUCAGGUGUCGGGACAGGGGGCACCUUGCAAAGCCCAUGGACGGUCUUCCUGGGGACGGCCUGACAGCUCAGCUUGCGCU
rnacentral:lncRNA from 1 species